rnacentral:lncRNA from 12 species
AUUUUAUAUUAAUUCUCUCUUUGUAAAUCUGCAUGGAACUGCAGAAAUGGCAAGGGAAAAAACCACAGGCACACCAAGGGAAUUGUGGAGGCUGCACCAGCACGUCUGGAAAGGCGACGGGGACACAGGGCCAGCAGGUCCGGAACAGGCACCACGAGGAACAGGAACAUCUGGGAACACCUGUGAACAUCUGCAGCUCCAGGAGGUGUGAGGUGCGGGCGGGGGUGGCAGGGUCGCCUGCUCGCCCAGACAGCCGUGUGGGGACAGCCCCGGAGCACCGGACAACCCAGGGAUGCUGCUCACGGCCUGGGGCACGGGCGGCAGUGACAGGGUUUAACGUUCAUCCCCUUUGCGUUUGCACACCCAGCGCUACCUGGGUGCUUUGGUUCAAAGCCACCACGUAAAUACAAACGUCACAGCGGUUUUAGCAAGAAAUUAGAAACAAAACCGGUGCGAUCCCCAUGAGCAGGGAUGGGGCAGAAGGCAGCGCCGCGGGAGUUCCCGGUACCAUCGCCCCCCCCCCCCCCCCCCCCCCCCCCCCCCCCCCCCCCCCCCCCCCCCCCCCCCCCCCCCCCCCCCCCCC